AUUGAACGCUGGCGGCAGGCUUAACACAUGCAAGUCGAGCGGAGAGAGGUAGCUUGCUACUGAUCUUAGCGGCGGACGGGUGAGUAAUGCUUAGGAAUCUGCCUAUUAGUGGGGAACAACAUUUCGAAAGGAAUGCUAAUACCGCAUACGUCCUACGGGAGAAAGCAGGGGAUCUUCGGACCUUGCGCUAAUAGAUGAGCCUAAGUCGGAUUAGCUAGUUGGUGGGGUAAAGGCCUACCAAGGCGACGAUCUGAAGCGGGUCUGAGAGGAUGAUCGGCCACACUGGGACUGAGGCACGGCCCAGACUCCUACGGGAGGCAGCAGUGGGGAAUAUUGGACAAUGGGCGCAAGCCUGAUCCAGCCAUGCCGAGUGUGUGAAGAAGGCCUUAUGGUUGUAAAGCACUUUAAGCGAGGAGGAGGCUACUUUAGAUAAUACCUAGAGAUAGUGGACGUUACUCGCAGAAUAAGCACCGGCUAACUCUGUGCCAGCCGCCGCCGUAAGAC
rnacentral:rRNA from 1 species